UACGGAGGGGGCGAGCGUUGUCCGAAGUUACUGGGCGUAAAGCGCGCGUAGGCGGGUUGGCAAGUCUGCUGUGAAAGCCCGGAGCUUAACUCCGGAGGGUCGGUGGAUACUGCCAGUCUUGAAGGUGCUAGGGGAGAGAUGGAAUUACCGGUGUAGCGGUGAAAUGCGUAGAUAUCGGAAGGAAGACCAGUGGCGAAGGCGGGUCUCUGGACAGUUCCUGACGCUGAGGCACGAAGGCCAGGGGAGCAAACGGGG
rnacentral:rRNA from 1 species